GACGAACGCUGGCGGCGUGCCUAAUACAUGCAAGUCGAGCGAACAGACGAGGAGUUUGUUCCGCACACGAGUGCCGCGCACGGGAGAGUAACACGUGGAUACUCUACCUAUAAGAGUGGUAUAACUGCGGGAAUGCGGAUCUAAUACCGGAUGAUAUAUUGAACCGCAUGGUUUAGUAGUGAAAUACGGUUUUUCGGUCAAGUAUAGAUGGUUCCGCGCCGCAUUAGCUAGUUGGUAAGGUAACGGCUUACCAAGGCAACCGUGCGUAGACGACCUGAGGGGCUGAUCGGCGACACGAGAACUGAGACAGGGACAAGACUACUGCGAGAGGCAGCAGUCGGGAAUCUGCCGCAAUGGGCGAAAGCCUUACGGAGUAACGCCGCGUGAGUGAUGGCGGUCUUGGGAUCGUAAAGCUCUGUUACUAGGGAAGAACCAAUGUGUAAGUAACUGUGCACGUCUUGACGGUACCUACUCAGAAAGCCACGGCUAACUACGUG
rnacentral:rRNA from 1 species